CUGCUCACCGAAGUGUUGUCUUCCCUGGCCGGCUGGGAGCCCUGAGGCUGAGCAAAUCCCCCUCUCUGCAAGGAUAUCUCAUGUAUCUGCUGCCUCCGUGCCUGGACGCAGAAACAACUCUGGCUCAUGGAUAUUCCAGAAGGAACAGACUGGAACUGGCUGCUUCAAACUGGCUGCUUCAAACAUUGCUUAGGGUAAAGCUAUGUCCUGAUGAUGCAAAUCAGGCCAGAUUUUAUUUGAAAACCUGCUUUUCCAGAGUGGUCUGGCUGACAUACUAUUAUUCCCUACUCUUGGCACUUUCUUGCUCUGACUUUAUGUCCUUUUGAAAGCUCUGACUUUAUGUCCUUUUGAAAGACCUACACACCACCCAGCAGAGCCUGGGCUGCACACUGAUCUAUGCAUACAAAGUAUUCUUUGCUGAAGUUCACAGUAUGCACUGUGGGUGCUGGACAAAAGAACUAGCUGUAAAUAUAAACCAGGAAUAAUUGUUGUUGGCACCACUGCAGCUCUCAGGGUAAAAUUCAUUUCACAGAUCAUCCACAGAGAGGCAAGCCCCAGAAAAUCCUUGGAUAUUUUAUUUGCAAAGAUUCCUCUGACAUUCAGUCAUUUUAGGCAGUGCAACCUUAUUGAAGACUUUUGACAGUUGUCAAGAGAGGUUGUUCUCUGGAUUUAUUUAAGUCAGAUGUUGUAGUACUUGAUGUCUUGUCUUCCCCUUUCCUUAGGAAACAUUCUUAGGCUGCCACUGUUUUUACUGUGUCCAUUCUGAAUUUAAAAUAACUCUUUAUGCAAGGAAGUGCAGGUGCAACUGUUCUGCCAUUAUAGGAACAUUCUGCCAAUGUAGGAACCCUGGGAGAAGCAGAGGUUUUGAAAUGGAAGAAGAAUGUCUUCACAGGACUGUUCCUUUCCUUGUUCCUGUGGCUGCUUUUCUGCUUAUUUUCACAUAUGACACAUCACUACAAGCUGUUUUCCUGUUAGUGAAUUUUCCACACAAUAUUAUCUCUGAAUAGAGAUUAUUUUAAAAGCAUCCAUUAAAAUUCAGAGU